AUUGAACGCUGGCGGCAUGCCUUACACAUGCAAGUCGAACGGCAGCAUGAUCUAGCCUGCUAGAUUGAUGGCGAGUGGCGAACGGGUGAGUAAUACAUCGGAACGUGCCCUGUAGUGGGGGAUAACUAGUCGAAAGAUUAGCUAAUACCGCAUACGACCUGAGGGUGAAAGUGGGGAACCGCAAGGCCUCAUGCUAUAGGAGCGGCCGAUGUCUGAUUAGCUAGUUGGUGAGGUAAAGGCUCACCAAGGCGACGAUCAGUAGCUGGUCUGAGAGGACGAUCAGCCACACUGGGACUGAGACACGGCCCAGACUCCUACGGGAGGCAGCAGUGGGGAAUUUUGGACAAUGGGCGAAAGCCUGAUCCAGCAAUGCCGCGUGUGUGAAGAAGGCCUUCGGGUUGUAAAGCACUUUUGUCCGGAAAGAAAUGGCUCUGGUUAAUACCUGGGGUCGAUGACGGUACCGGAAGAAUAAGGACCGGCUAACUACGUGCCAGCAGCCGCCGUAA
rnacentral:rRNA from 1 species